rnacentral:rRNA from 1 species
UACGUAGGGUGCAAGCGUUUAAUCGGAAUUACUGGGCGUAAAGCGUGCGCAGGCGGUUUUUGUAAGUCAGAUGUGAAAUCCCCCGGGCUUAACCUGGGAACUGCGUUUGAAACUACAAGGCUAGAGUGUGGCAGAGGGGGGGUGGAAUUCCACGUGUAGCAGUGAAAUGCGUAGAGAUGUGGAGGAACACCGAUGGCGAAGGCAGCCCCCUGGGGUUAACACUGACGCUCAGGCACGAAAGCGUGGGGAGCAAACAGG